rnacentral:rRNA from 1 species
GAUGAACGCUGGCGACGUGCCUAAUACAUGCAAGUCGAGCGAACAGAUGAGGAGCUUGCUCCUCUGACGUUAGCGGCGGACGGGUGAGUAACACGUGGAUAACCUACCUAUAAGACUGGGAUAACUUCGGGAAACCGGAGCUAAUACCGGAUAAUAUAUUGAACCGCAUGGUUCAAUAGUGAAAGACGGUUUUGCUGUCACUUAUAGAUGGAUCCGCGCCGCAUUAGCUAGUUGGUAAGGUAACGGCUUACCAAGGCAACGAUGCGUAGCCGACCUGAGAGGGUGAUCGGCCACACUGGAACUGAGACACGGUCCAGACUCCUACGGGAGGCAGCAGUAGGGAAUCUUCCGCAAUGGGCGAAAGCUUGACGGAGCAACGCCGCGUGAGUGAUGAAGGUCUUCGGAUCGUAAAACUCUGUUAUUAGGGAAGAACAAAUGUGUAAGUAACUAUGCACGUCUUGACGGUACCUAAUCAGAAAGCCACGGCUAACUACGUG